CUUGCUCCCGGAUGUUAGCGGCGGACGGGUGAGUAACACGUGGGUAACCUGCCUGUAAGACUGGGAUAACUCCGGGAAACCGGAGCUAAUACCGGAUAGUUCCUUGAACCGCAUGGUUCAAGGAUGAAAGACGGUUUCGGCUGUCACUUACAGAUGGACCCGCGGCGCAUUAGCUAGUUGGUGAGGUAACGGCUCACCAAGGCGACGAUGCGUAGCCGACCUGAGAGGGUGAUCGGCCACACUGGGACUGAGACACGGCCCAGACUCCUACGGGAGGCAGCAGUAGGGAAUCUUCCGCAAUGGACGAAAGUCUGACGGAGCAACGCCGCGUGAGUGAUGAAGGUUUUCGGAUCGUAAAGCUCUGUUGUUAGGGAAGAACAAGUGCAAGAGUAACUGCUUGCACCAUGACGGUACCUAACCAGAAAGCCACGGCUAACUACGUGCCAGCAGCCGCGGUAAUACGUAGGUGGCAAGCGUUGUCCGGAAUUAUUGGGCGUAAAGGGCUCGCAGGCGGUUUCUUAAGUCUGAUGUGAAAGCCCCCGGCUCAACCGGGGAGGGUCAUUGGAAACUGGGAAACUUGAGUGCAGAAGAGGAGAGUGGAAUUCCACGUGUAGCGGUGA
rnacentral:rRNA from 1 species